rnacentral:rRNA from 1 species
GACGAACGCUGGCGGCGUGCUUAACACAUGCAAGUCGAACGGAAAGGCCCUUCGGGGUCCUCGAGUGGCGAACGGGUGAGUAACACGUGGGUGAUCUGCCCUGCACUUUGGGAUAAGCCUGGGAAACUGGGUCUAAUACCGAAUAGGACCGCGCGCUUCAUGGUGUGUGGUGGAAAGCUUUUGCGGUGUGGGAUGGGCCCGCGGCCUAUCAGCUUGUUGGUGGGGGAAUGGCCUACCAAGGCGACGACGGGUAGCCGGCCUGAGAGGGUGACCGGCCACACUGGUACUGAGAUACGGCCCAGACUCCUACGGGAGGCAGCAGUGGGGAAUAUUGCACAAUGGGCGCAAGCCUGAUGCAGCGACGCCGCGUGAGGGAUGACGGCCUUCGGGUUGUAAACCUCUUUCACCAGGGACGAAGCGCAAGUGACGGUACCUGGAGAAGAAGCACCGGCCAACUACGUG